CAUGCAGAGAGAAGUGGAAAGAAAUUGACUGUAGGAUCAAGAUGGAAAGAUUCUGCUAAUGAAGGAUAAUCAGGUGGCAUAACAGUGAACAUCACCUUCCCCUAAAGAAUUUGUACUGUCAAAGGACACUAAGAAGAUGUAUUCCAUGAAAAAAAAAGGUUUGGUAAAGAUGUGGCACUUGAAGUAAAGGUGCUGCCAUAUAUAGAGCAUACUGGGCAGAACAGCUUCUCCAAAAUCCGGUAUCAGAACCUAUGUCCGUCUUCUGAACAGAAAUCAGCCAAAUAGAGCGUCUCCUUGAUUCAGAAAGCAAGUUACUGCAAUGCUGUAUUUAAAGAUGGUGCCUGAAAGCAAUGGG
rnacentral:lncRNA from 14 species